GAAGUAGCUCAGUGGUAGAGCAACCGGCUGUUAACCGGUUGGUCGCAGGUUCGAGUCCUGCCUUC
rnacentral:tRNA from 1 species